rnacentral:rRNA from 1 species
GACGAACGCUGGCGGCGUGCCUAAUACAUGCAAGUAGGACGCAGUUGCGAACGGGUGAGUAACGCGUAGGUAACUACCUAUUAGAGGGGGAUAACUAUUGGAAACGAUAGCUAAUACCGCAUACUAGUAGAUGGACCUGCGUUGUAUUAGCUAGUAGGUAGGGUAAUGGCCUACCUAGGCAACGAUACAUAGGCUACGUGAGGAGGUGAUCGGCCAACAAGGGACGGAGACAAGGCCCAGACUCCUUCGGGAGGCAGCAGGAGGGAAUCUUCGGCAAUUGGGGGAACCCUGACCGAGGAACUCCGCGGUAGGUAAGAAGGUUUGCGGAUCGUAAAGCUCUGUUGUUAAGGAAGCGGUACUUAACCAGAAAGGGACGGCUAACUACGUGCCAGCAGCCGCGGUAAUUC